rnacentral:rRNA from 1 species
UACGGAGGAUCCAAGCGUUAUCCGGAUUUAUUGGGUUUAAAGGGUGCGUAGGCGGUUAAUUAAGUUAGAGGUGAAAUCCCGGGGCUCAACCCUGGAACUGCCUCUGAUACUGGUUGGCUAGAGUAUAGUUGCUGUGGGCGGAAUGUAUGGUGUAGCGGUGAAAUGCUUAGAGAUCAUACAGAACACCGAUUGCGAAGGCAGCUCACAAAGCUAUUACUGACGCUGAGGCACGAAAGCGUGGGGAGCAAAC